rnacentral:rRNA from 1 species
AUUUAUUGGGUUUAAAGGGUGCGUAGGCGGUUUAUUAAGUUAGUGGUUAAAUAUUUGAGCUAAACUCAAUUGUGCCAUUGAUACUGGUAAACUUGAGUACAGACGAGGUAGGCGGAAUUCGUGGAGUAGCGGUGAAAUGCUUAGAUAUCACGAAGAACUCCGAUUGCGAAGGCAGCUUACCAGACUGUAACUGACGCUGAUGCACGAGAGCGUGGGUAGCGAACAGGAUUAGAUACCCUGGUAGUCCACGCAGUAAACGAUGAUCACUCGUUCUGUGCGAUAUAUUGUACGGGAUUAAGCGAAAGUAUUAAGUGAGCCACCUGGGGAGUACGCCGGCAACGGUGAAACUCAAAGGAAUUGACGGGGGCCCGCACAAGCGGAGGAACAUGUGGUUUAAUUCGAUGAUACGCGAGGAACCUUACCUGGGUUUAAAUGGGAAAUGCCGUAUUUGGAAACAGAUAUUCUCUUCGGAGCGUUUUUCAAGGUGCUGCAUGGUUGUCGUCAGCUCGUGCCGUGAGGUGUCGGGUUAAGUCCCAUAACGAGCGCAACCCUUACCGUUAGUUGCUAGCAUGUAAUGCUGAGGACUCUAACGGGACUGCCAUCGUAAGAUGUGAGGAAGGCGGGGAUGACGUCAAAUCAGCACGGCCCUUACACCCAGGGCUACACACGUGUUACAAUGGCCGGUACAGAGGGCCGCUACCAGGUGACUGGAUGCCAAUCUCAAAAGCCGGUCGUAGUUCGGAUUGGAGUCUGU